GGCCGACUAGCUCAGUUGGUUAGAGCGUCGUGCUAAUAUCUGUGCAGCCAAACAUCGUGUAGCCCCCUCCACAGUGAUUGCUGCCCGGUCCACGCGAAGGUCUUGGGUUCGAUCCCCACGUUGGCCA
rfam:Coniophora puteana RWD-64-598 SS2 unplaced genomic scaffold CONPTscaffold_17, whole genome shotgun sequence.